rnacentral:rRNA from 1 species
UGUUUAAUAUUUAAGGUCUGGCCUGCCCAAUGAUUAAUUUUAAUGGCCGCAGUAUUUUGACUGUGCAAAGGUAGCAUAAUCAUUAGUUUCUUAAUUAGGAACUGGUAUGAAUGGUCGGAUGAGGGAAAAGCUGUCUCAAUUUUAUUUUAUAAGAAUUUUAUUUUUAAGUUAAAAAGCUUAAAUUUUAUUUAAAGACGAGAAGACCCUAUAGAGUUUUAUAAUAUUAAAUUUUAAGUUUUUAAGAAUCUUAUAAUUUUAAAUUGAAUUAUUAUUUUGUUGGGGUGAUAAUAAAAUUAACUUAACUUUUAUUUUUUAAUACAUCAUUAAAUGUUUUAUUGAUCCAUAAAUUUAUGAUUAAAAGAUUAAAUUACCUUAGGGAUAACAGCGUAAUCUUUAUGGAAAGUUCUUAUUGAUAUAAAGGUUUGCGACCUCGAUGUUGGAUUAAAA